AUUAAAAGUUUUAGUUUAAUUAAAAUUUUUCAAUUACACUGAAAGGAAUUAUAAAAUUAAUUUUUAAUA
rnacentral:tRNA from 1 species